rnacentral:rRNA from 1 species
CCUACGGGAGGCAGCAGUGGGGAAUAUUGGACAAUGGGCGAAAGCCUGAUCCAGCAAUGCCGCGUGAGUGAUGAAGGCCUUCGGGUCGUAAAGCUCUUUUACCAGGGAUGAUAAUGACAGUACCUGGAGAAUAAGCUCCGGCUAACUCCGUGCCAGCAGCCGCGGUAAUACAGAGGGAGCUAGCGUUGUUCGGAAUUACUGGGCGUAAAGAGUACGUAGGCGGUUAUUCAAGUCAGAGGUGAAAGCCCGGGGCUCAACCCCGGAACUGCCUUUGAAACUAGAUAACUAGAGUCUUGGAGAGGUUAGUGGAAUUCCGAGUGUAGAGGUGAAAUUCGUAGAUAUUCGGAAGAACACCAGUGGCGAAGGCGACUAACUGGACAAGUACUGACGCUGAGGUACGAAAGCGUGGGGAGCAAACAGGAUUAGAUACCCUGGUAGUCCACGCCGUAAACGAUGAUAACUAGUUGUUCGGUCACUUGGUGACUGAGUGACGCAGCUAACGCAUUAAGUUAUCCGCCUGGGGAGUACGGUCGCAAGNUUAAAACUCAAAGAGUAUGCGUGNGAGACGAGCGACGACGACGACGAGGAG